AUCAAAUGAAGGUUGUCAAAGCAAAGGAGACCAUUAUUUUACUUGUUUCCACAUCACUUUAUAUUUUUUAAAAAAGGGACAGAUUCUUGCAAAAAUGCUUUAUUGUGUAUAUAUGACUGAUAGACAAUUAUCUUUUACAAAAUGUUUGGUACAUUCGUGAAUGAGGGAAGUCACAAAGCAUAUACAAAAUUAUUUACACUUCAGAAAACUCUUUUGUUUAUCUCAUGGAAGUGAGAUAAAUGCUGAAUGGUUCAAUAUCCACAGAAAGAGGCAGCAAUAUUUAAUGUAAAAUACUGUCAUGUAGUAUCACAGUUUUGUACCAGAGAAAUGAUAAGUAAAGCUUACAGAGUAUAUAUAAACCUGAUGUUAAAAAAGCAUGCGCUGUUUGUUAGUUUGAGGGGAUGAAAGGAUGACCAGAACAUAAGACUCUUUUUCACUUAAUGUAUUAAGACCAUUAGGUUAUGUUGAAGGUCAUUGGGGUCUUAAGUCCACACAUUUACAUUUAAUGGAUCAAAACACUUUCACUGAAUUAGUAUAACAUACACUUUGUACACUUGUUUUCCAAAACAAAAGCCAGUCUAUUGUACUACAGUCUAGCUGUGCAGAGGUUUGCUUAGUACGUUUCACCUCUAAUACACAAUGCAUCUUUUAACAGAUGACAAGUUGUGUUAGGUAGGAUUUGUGCUGCAGCUGGAAAAACUUCGAACUAAUAAAACAGGGCAGUUCAACUGUCACUUCACCUGUCGUUUACCUCUGCACUUUUCUGAAUAUUGAAGUUUAUUUGAAUAGAGGAGUGACAAUAAAUUACAGAAGGUAGAAUUAUCAGCUAUAUAAAUUGAAUGAGCCUUUUGCCCUAAGGCACUUCUAGAUUGUCCAGGGCAUAAAAGGCCAAGUCAUAAUGCAUUCAAUAAAUCGGCAAAUCAGAGAUUUUGUAUCAACCGAGGUUAGAGCAAAUGCUUGAAAAUAAUGACUUCAUCUUCGUUAUUUUAAAAAGCCAAGCGGUUUUGAACCACUGCCAGUAUCAAUUAGAUUCUGUAUCAACACUGAUGAGCUUUAAAAUAGUUGCAUGUCAUGGACUGAACUGAAACAAUCCAGUUAGAGCCUGAGGAGCAUAGAUCACCAAAUAAAAUCACCACUGAUUGAACAUACUAAAAAUUCAAAACCUAAAGCUUUUGAUGAGAUUUAAGACCAGAGUAAACUCAUUUGUACUGCACUUUUGUCCAGUAUUAAAAGCCAAGGACAAAAUAGUAUAAAUUUUUGAUACAACUUACUGUAUUAACAUUAUGUACAGUGCCUUAAAGUGUUCAGCUCCCACAUUUUCACGUUUUAAUGUCUCACUUUCUGAAUUUUUUUGUUCUUAGCUACGAAACGUGCAUAACAUCAAAAAUUCCAAAACCUGUCAGCUAAAAUUGAGAGACUGAAAAAGUAUUCACCCCUUUUGUAAAUACUGUGCUAACUUUCCUCAGGUGCAAUAUUCUUAUUACCUCAUCAACUCACCCAAUUUAUUGAUGUAGAAAAUUGGAGGAUCACCUGUUUUUAAUGAAUUCAUAAGAAUAAAUUCUCUCUCUCUGUGUGUCUCUCUCUCAUAUCCAGUUGUUCAGCAGCUUUUCAACAGCCCAAACCAAAAUGAAGACAAAAGGGCAUUCAAGCCAAGUCAGGGAAUGGAUGAUGUAGAAGCAGAAAUCGUGGGAAGGGUACAAGACCACAUCAAAGGCACUGAACAUGCAUCUGAGUUCAGUGCAGUCCAUCAUGGGAAAAAUAUGAAAUCACAGCCACACUCAAUAGGUCAAGCCUCCUCUAAAUUUUAGUUGCCAGAGAAGAAUGGCACUUGUCAGAGAGUCUAAUGUGAUACCAACAUUCACUCUGGCUGAGAGCAGAAGUCAGCGGUUGCAACUGGAGAUGACGUUCAUGGCUCUACAAUCUCUAAGGCUGGCACAAAAAGAUUAUUUAUGGAAGAGGGGCAAAGAAGCAGCCCUGGCUUUAAAAAAAAGCUUUUACUUUCCUGAAAAGAUUUUGCAAAGGGUCACUUUUAAGAUCCUGUAAAGAUGUGGAAGAAGGUUUUGUGGUCGGAUGAGACUAAAAUGGAACUUUUUAGUCUCAGCAUUAAGUUGUACGUGAACACUACGUGAAGUGCAAACCUAAUACUGAACGUCAGCCAGGUAACGCCAUUUCUAAUGUAAAGUAUGGUGGAGGUAGGAUUGCGCUAUGGAAAUGCUUUUCAGCAGCAGGGACUGGAAAUCUGGUCAGGAUUGAUGAGAAAAUGAAUGCUGCUAAAUACAGAGGUUCUGGGUAAACACCUUUUGGCCCUUGCCAGAGCAACUAUAGAGAGGCGUCAAAUGAAGAAAACUGAUGUCCUUGGGUGGCCCCGUUAGAGUCCUGACCUUAACCCGGUUAAACAUCUCUGGUAACACCUGAAGUCUGCUGUUCACUGUCGCUCCUCAAAUAACUUGGCACAGCCUGAGCAAUUUUACAAGGAGAAAUAGGCAAAUCUUGCUCCAUCAUAUUUGUGCAAAACUGACAGAAACUCGUCCAAAAUACCACUGGAUGUAAUAAAGGUGGUUCAGCUAAGCACUCAGCAAAGGGGAAUGAAUAAUUUUGAACUGACAUUUCAGUUUCUAAAGUUUUAAUUUCUCAUGUUUUACAAUUUUCCUGGUUUUUGGGGCUCCACUGAAAAAAGAGCAUGUGUUAAAAAUUCUCAAUUAAAUAGAUCAAAAUCCCUGCUUGUAAUACUCAUUUAUUUGAACAACGGAUUGGGGGCUGAAUACUUUUACAAGACAUUGUAUCCAAAGUUGUGAUCUCGCUGGCUCUAACUGGAUUGACUUGCAUUCAGAAUUUAAACCGCAGUGAGCCUGAGACAUUAGUGCAUCGCCCUGACUUGCUAAAAGAUGGAUCAAUUCUUUAUUGUUCUAGAAUCUUGUACUGGGUUAUUAACAGGAUCCAAGACUUCACUGACUUUGAAUUGCAUAGCUAUGUUCUGCAAGGCAGAGAGAAGGUAAGUUACUUCUGCUAAUGUUUUUAAUUUAUAUAUAUGCCAGUUAUUUUUAAUUUUGUUAAAAUAUCUCUGAAGUGUCAGCAUUUGCAGUCUGGGUUAGUUUAGAUCAAUGUAAUUUAAGAUUAGCCUGAUGAAUACUGACUGGGUACAUGUAGGGGAGAUGGGAGUGAAGUGCGAAGUUCCUUUAGGAAGAUCUUGCCCAUUAAUGGUGGUGGUCUUUUAUAAGUAAUAUGUAUUUUGCUUUCUAGUCUGGAAGAUUAUUUUUCUAAUAAAACCAGUCCAGACUGAAGUGAUAUUUAAAUAGUGCAGAAAGUUGAUUUUGAACUCUUAUCUCCACCACAAAUUUGUUCCAUUUUUGGGAUGUUCAUUGGUAAGGAUAUACAAAAAAAUGCAAACAAAGGCUAAGUUUCAGCAGGUAGUUCACCAUUACUUUCCCAUGGAAUGGAACCAUCUUGAACUUUUUCCAUGAAUGUGGAAAACUGCUAUUGUGCCUUGCAAUUUUAUUUACUGAGUCAUUGAAAGAUUUAGAGCUAUGUAUAUUACAACCUUGUUCCAAAGGAAACUAAUGAGAUUAAGUCUAUUUUUCAGAUGAAGAUUGUCAUUUUUGGCAGGACAUGUUUUUCUGUUUGGUUGAAAUAACCUUGAAAAUGGUCAGCUUGCUGAAAUUCUAGCCAAUUAUUUGUUGAAUUAAUCAAGUUUUAACAAUCAUUCAGCAUUUCUAAACAAUAAGAUGUAAGAGGUGCUGCAGCAAUUUCUGUUCUGGAAAACAUUUUAUAAUGUGGAUCAUUAUUUGACAGUGUGCGAGCUGCAAAAUUGACUUCAGCAACAUUGAAUUAAGUUGAAAAAAUACUGUGACACUAUAGAUAUUAGCAUAUUUAAAACUUUUUUGGGGCUUUAUCCCAAUCUGUUAAAUUAUAAAUACACAGAUUAAGAUCAGUCAAUACUAUUAGUCAGUGGAAAGAGCUUGCAAAGACACAACAGGUCAGUCAUUUAAACAGGAUGUCAAAAAAGUACUUGAUCUAAGUUUAGAAUUGGGGAAUGGUGAAAUUUGUUUUGUUUUUCUAACGGCUGUACACUCCUUAAGACACUUAGACCAUUUACGUUUUGACAAUUCCCCAAAUACUUUCAGUGCUACAUAACAUAAAAAGAACAAUGCCAGUAGUAGUGAUGAUGCCCAUCAAACAUUGAUUGGAUUCCUGGCAAUUUCCACCCCCCCCCCCCCCCCCCCCAAUUCCUGGAAAGAGAACUAAUGGUACACAGCAUCAAGGAAUGUUGGUCCUACACAGUAACAUGCAAUACCAAAGGGCAGUCUAGAAUUCCAGCUUGGUAACUAUCCUACUAUGGUUUUAGCUUAAACUUGUUUAGUCUGUGAAGAGAAUGUGGAGCCUUAACUUCCUUUUCAUUUCACCUUUUGUGAAGUUAUUGUAAUCUUAAAAACCCAGCUGCUUUUUCUUGCUACUUGACCAAAAUAAUUUUAAUUUUCCAUUCUCCAGUAUAACUGCUGUAUAGUUUCCCAUACUUGCAUAUCUUGCCAGCUAUUUACCAAGGUCUUUUCUUGCACUUGGCUAUUAUAAUGGCUGCUCUUUACAUUGGUUGUUUACGAGUAAAUAUUACCACUUUGUGUAUUCAUUGCUGUUUAAAUCGUUAUUCUUGAAUUACAAUCACUGUUUUGAUAAAAACAAAAGGGCCACAGUUUUGACACAACUAUACUUUAAGGUUAACGGCCAAGUGAAAUAAUGAAGUAGGAUUUGCAGAUUUCUAAUGCUGUUGGAAAGUUGGUUUUCUUUUGUUGUUUAGAAAGUAAAAGCAAAUCACUAAAAUUGUCUUCGUGCUAAACAUUAAGUAAAUAAAUAGUGGAUGGUAUAUCAUGCUGAAGGAAUGCUCUUCCCCUGCCUAGUAACCAAUGAAAACCUUUUUCUCCAGGGGAAAAUAAUGAUUUGGUCACUUGUACCAUUAAAAAGGGCACAUUAAUAGUGCACAGAAUUAUUUUCUCUGAUUAUUCAGUUCCUAUUUUUUGCUACCAUUAUCUUUAACUCCUUGAGGACUAGUACAAUAAUUUGUACCACAAAAGAUCAAAAGUAACUGAGUGUUAAACCGUCAAUACUUAAAUCCAUUCCUUUAAGUGUACCUCUUUACAUUCAACACUAAUUUGCUUAACUGUUAUUCUGUGAGGAAAAUAGGUAUACAAGUUCUUGUGUGGUGUAUUAUAAACAUAAAACCUAUUUCCAUUUUUGCCUCUCAAGUAGUAUUAAAAGCCUGUUCAGGGAAAUUUACCCCAAUAUUUUGUUGGGGGCCAAGUUCAAUUUAAAUAUAAAAUGAAGAGCAACCACCAGCUAUUUAAAUGUUAUUUUUCUUUGCAGUUGCCAAUUUUCACUUUGCUCGUAAAUAGAACCAAUCGAGCUUAAACAGAAUGAACUGGUGUCUCAUUUUUCUACAAAGUUUGAAUGGGGCACGGCUGUGCAAGUGCGUGAAGGUCGGUCUGUGAGACAGCGGGAGAGUCUUAAACGCUCCCACCUGUAAAAGCUCCUGCACUGCAGUGCACAACUAUUGGUGGAUUACAGCUCCUGUUGGAGUCCAGCAUGCUGUUGGUGUGCCGCCGAACUGACUGAAUUUCUUCAAGCAAAUAUAAAUUCAACUCUGAAGAAACAGGUGUUUGCAUACUGAAAAGCCUACUGUUAACACUGAAGUUGGUUUCAAAUAUGAAAAGAAUUGAGGACAGAAGGUUUGACAAUUUGGAGAUGCUAAGAAAGAAUAAAGUAGAAUAAAUAGCAGCUCAAUGACACUUGAUUUCACUGAUGUUAACACAAGGCACGUGGAACAAUAUACUUGAAUGAUUGAAGACAUUUCAUGUGUUAGCAAAGCAAAUAUAUUGGAGAAAACUAAUGAAGAGAACACUUACUGGUUGUUUGUUCUUGGGAGAAAGGAUUGAGAAGAAAUUAUUCUGCCAGUCUCCAUUUGGCUUAAGUGUAUUAAAAAUACUUGUACUAUGUUCAGAAAAUAAAUUUUGCUAACCAUAAUUAAAAAAUAAAAGUGUACUUUAUUACUGUUUGUAUUUCCAUGUGGUCUAAAUAGACUACACAAAUGCCCAAGCAAUAGUAUUGAUCUCCAAUAACUGUUUUGCAGUUUUAGCAUAAAAUGUGCUAGAACAUAACUUGUAGCCACUGUUUCUGCAGUUCCAGAAUGUAAUUCCUUUGCGUAAGGAAUUGCUAUGUUUAAGAAAAGGUGAUAAUGGCAUUUUUAUUUUUUAAUUAAAGUCAUUGUGGCUACAUAUUCACUCAAUGGCCACUUUAUUAGAUACACCUGUAUAAUGUAAAUAUCUGAUUAGCCCAUCAUGUAACAGCAACACAAUGCAUAAAAGCAUGCAAAUACAGUCAACAGGUUUGAUGCUAUUAAGACCAAACAACAGAAUGGGUAAGAAAUGUGAUCCAAGUGAUGUUGACUGUGGAAUGAUUGUUGGUGCCAGACAGGGUGGUUUGAGUAUUUCAGAAGCUGCUGAUCUCUUGGGAUUUUCAUGUACAACAGUCUCUGGAGUUUACAGAAUGUGUGAGAAACCAGUGAGCAGCAGUUCUGUGGUCAAAAAUGCCUUGUUAAUGCGAGAGGACAGAGAGAAUGGCCAGACUGGUUCAAGCUGGCAGCUACUCAAACGACCACGUGAUAACAAUAGUGGUGUCUCUAGGUGCACCACACAUCACACCUUGAAGUAGAAGGGCUGCAGCAUCAGAAUACCAUGAACAUGUUCUCAAUGGCCACUUUGUUAGGUUAAGAGAUACCUAAUAAAGUGGCUACUGAGUGUAUAUUACACUUCAGCAGUGAUAAGUUCAGACAUCAAAUUAUAUGAAAAUAUUUGACUUCCACCUUCAUCAGAUUCAAAGGCUAGUAAGAUAAAAGCAGUGCAUGUGAUUAAAAAUCAAAGAAGCACUAUCAUCUGAUACAGGCACCAAGAUUUCUAUCUGUAAAGAACUGAAAAUUAUGCAAAAUUCCUCAAGAUGUCUCUGAUCACAUGCAUAGCAUUCUGAAAUGGGAGGGUGAGCAGCCAGAAGUCAUGGUUUACAUCGGUACCAAUGACGUAGGAAGAAAGAAUGAGGAGGUCCUGAAGACUGAGUAUAGGGAGCUUGGUAGGAAGUUAAAAAGCAGGACCCCUAGGGUGGUAAUCUCAGGAUUGCUACCUGAGCCACGUGCCAGUGAGGGUAAGUGUAGGAUGCUCUGGAGGAUGAACAUGUGACUGAGGAACUGGUGUAAGGGGCAGGGUUUCAAAUUUUUGGCUCUUUGGGACAUCUUCUGGGGCAGGUGGGACCUGUACAAGACAGAUGGGUUACACCUCAACUACAGGGGAACCAAUAUCCUUGCAGGGAGGUUUGCUAGUGCUACUGGGGAGGGUUUAAAUUAGAUUUGCAGGGGGAUGGGAACCGGAGUGCCAGAGCAGAUAGUGGAGUGGGGGUGAAAAUAAAUGAUGUUAAAAGUUAAUGCAAAGUCAGAAAUAGGGUUGUGUGUGGUGGUAAUAAUCUUCUGAGGUGUGUCUAUUUCAAUGUGAGGAGUAUUGUUGGGAAGGCAGAUGAGCUGAGUGUGUGGAUUGACACAUGGAGUUAUGUAUGACAUUAUAGCCAUUAGUGAAACUUGGCUACAGGAGGGGCAGGACUGGCAGCUUAAUGUUCCGGGGUUCAGAUGUUUCAGAGGUGAUAGAGGCAGAGGGAUGAAGGGUGUGGUGGGGGGGGGGGGUGGGUGGCAUUGCUAGUUAGGGAAAAUGUUACAGCAGUGCUUAGGCAGGAUAGAUUUACAGGGCUUAUCUACAGAGGCCAUAUGGGUGGAGCCGAGAAACAGGAAAGGUACGACCACAUUAAUGGGGUUGUAUUAUAGACCACACAAUAGUCAGUGAGAACUGGAGGAGCAAAUCUGCAGAGAGAUAGCAGACAACUGCAAGAACAUAAAGUUGUGACAGUAGGGGAUUUUAGUUUUCCACAUUGAUUGGGACUGCCAUACUAUUAAAGGUCUAGUCGGGUUAGAGUUUAUAUAAUGUGUUCAGGAAAAGUUUUCAAAAUCAAUAUAUAGAGGUACCAACUAGAGAGGAUGCAAUAUUAGAUCUCCUACUAGGAAACGAGUUAGGACAAAUGACAGAAGUGUGUGUAUGGGAACACUUUGGGUCUAGUGAUCAUAACGCCAUUAGUUUCAACUUGGUCAUGGAUAAAGAUAGAUCUGGUCCUCGGUUUGAGGUUCUAAACUGGAAAAAGGGCAAAUUUGAAGAAACGAGGUAGAAACUAAAAAGCGUGGAUUGGGACAGGUUGUUCUCUGGCAAGGAUGUGAUUGGUAAGUGGGAGGCCUUCAAAGGAGAAAUUUUGAGACUGCAGAGUUUGAAUUUUCCUGUCAGGAUUAAAGGCAAAGUGAAUAAGAAUAAGGAACCUUGGUUUUCAAGGGAUAUUGGAAAUCUGAUAAAGAAGAAGAGAGAGAUGUAUGACAGGUAUAGGCAACAAGGAACAAAUAAGGUGCUUGAGGAGUAUAAAAAUUGCAAGAAAAUACUUAAAGAAAUCAGGAGGGCUAAAAGAAGACAUGAGGUUGCUUUGGCAGUCAAGGUGAAGGAUAACCUUAAGAGCUUCUAGGGGUAUAUUAAGAGCAAAAGGAUAGCAAGGGAUAAAAUUGGUUCUCUUGAAGAUCAGAGUGGUUGGCUAUGUAUGGAACCAAAAGAAAUGGGGGGGGGGAUCUUAAAUGGUUUUUUUGCAUCCGUAUUUACUAAGGAAACUGGCAAGGAGUCCACUGGAAUAAGGCAAACAAGUAGUGAGGUCAUGGAACCUAUACCGAUUAAAGAUGAGGAGGUGCUUGCUGUCUUGAGGCAAAUCAGAGUAGAUAAAUCCCCAGGACCUGACAGGGUAUUCCCUCGGACCUUGAAGGAGACUAGUGUUGAAAUUGCAGGUGCCCUGGCAGAUUUAUUUAAAAUGUCGGUAUCCACGGGUGAGGUGCCAGAGGAUUAGAGGAUAGCUCAUGUUGUUCCAUUGUUUAAAAAAGGCUCUAAAAGUAAUCUGGUAAAUUACAGGCUGGUAAGUUUGACGUUGAUAGUAGGUAAGUUAUUGGAGGGAUAGGAUCUACAAGUAUUUGGAUAGAUAGGGACUUAUUAGGGAGAGUCAACAUGGUUUUGUGCAUGGUAGGUCAUGUUUAACCAAUCUAUUAGAGUUUUUCAAGGUGGUUACCAGGAAAGUGGAUGAAGGGAAUGCAGUGGAUGUUGUCUACAUGAACCUCAGUAAGGCCUUUGACAAGGUCCCGCAUGGGAGGUUAGUUAGGAAGAUUCAUUCACUAGGUAUACAUGGAGAGGUAGUAAAUUGGAUUAGACAUUGGCUCAACGGGAGGAGCCGGAGAGUGGUAGUGGAGGAUUGCUUCUCUGAGUGGAGGCCUGUGACUAGUGGUGUGCCACAGGGAUUAGUGCUGGGUCCAUUGUUAUUUGUCAUCUAUAUCAAUGAUCUGCAUGGUAAUGGUAAAUUGGAUCAACAAAUUUGCUGAAGAUACAAAGAUUGGAGGUGUAGUGAACAGUGAGGAAGGUUUUCAAAGCUUGCAGAGGGAUUUGGACCAGAGGGCUGAAAAAUGGCAGAUGGAGUUUAAUGCAGACAAGUGUGAGGUAUUGCACUUUGGAAGGACAAACCAAGGUAGAACAUACAAGGUAAAUGGUAGGACACUGAGGAGUGUAGUAGAACAGAGGGAUCUGGGAAUACUGAUACAUAAUUCCCUAAAAGUGGCGUCACAGGUAGAUAAAAUCGUAAAGAGAGCUUUUGGCACAUUGGCCUUUAUAAAUCAAAGUAUUAAGUAUAAGAGUUGGAAUGUUAUGGUGAGGUUGUAUAAGACAUUGGUGAUGCCAAAUGUGGAGUAUUGUGUGCAGUUUUGGUCACCAAAUUACAGGAAGGAUAUUAAUAAGGUUGAAAGAAUGCAGAGAAGGUUUACGUUGCUGUGACUUGAGAAACUGAGUUACAGAGAAAUGUUGAAUGGGUUAGGACUUUAUUCCGUGGAGUGUAGAAGAAUGAGGAGAGAUUUGAUAGAGGUGUAUAAAAUUAUGAUGGGUAUAGAUAGAGUGAAUGCAAGCAGGCUUUUUCCACUGAGGCUAGGGGAGGAAAAAAAAGAGGAUGUGGGUUAAAGGUGAAAAGGGAAAAGUUUAAAGGGAACAUUGGGGGAGCUUCUUUACACAGAGAGUAGUGGGAGUGUGGAAUGAGCUGCCAGUUGAAGUGGUAAAUGCGGGCUCACUUUUAACAUUUAAGAAAAACUUGGACAGGUACAUGGAUGAGAGGAGUAUUAAGGGAAUAUGGUCUAGGUGCAGGUCAGUGGGAUUAGGCAGAAAGAUGGUUUGGCACAGCCAAGAAAGGCCAAAAGAUCUGUUUCUGUGCUGUCAUGUUCUAUGGUUCUAUGAUUAACAGGAUUUGUCAUUAAAGAAUAAUUGAUGCUGAUCCCAAUGGGGUAAGCAGUGAAUGAAAGAGCAUCUCAGGUGAAAUAGGAAAUGGAGAGACAGACAGUUUUAGAGAGGUCUUGCAGAACUAAGGGUUUUGUUAACUAAACCAUAAGCACCAAUGAUUAAGUAUAAAUUUUGAGAAAUGUAAAGGCAGAACAGUGUACGUUCUGUGUAGGGUGGUUUUGAAUAAUAUUUGCAAAGUGUGAUCAGGUAUCUGCUGGAAUAGUCAACAUCGGGGACAUGGGUGAGGGUAUUGGCUGCAGAUGUGCUCAGGCAGAUCAGAGUCAGACAACAGUACAGAGGAGGAGAUGUCAAAUGAUGGCACAGAUAUCUGAUACUGGGUUGAGCUACAGACGUCACAGAGGAUGUAAAUUGUCAGUCUCCAUUAUAAACUAUACCUGUGUGGAAGAAAUUUCUGUUCAUGUGGGACAGACAUAUAGUGGCAGGCUCAAGAUGCUUAGGAGUGAAGUGUUGAGACAUUGUCAAGUGUCUUAAAGUAAACAGGAUAAGCUGACUAUGUUUUUGGAUAAAAUUGCUGAAAGCGGCACAUGGUUGAGAACUAGCAUAGGAAUGCAUAAAGAAUAAUGUAAGUAAUAGUAUAAGCACAAGGGAAGCCACUGCUGGCAACUCUGUGGAUAGAUGAUAAUAAAGGCACCCACCUGAAAAACAAUGGAGUCAUAAAAUAUUUUGGAGAACAAUUAGUACAGUUACAAUCCAGGCUGACUGCUGAACUUGACCUUAAAUUGUUUUUUUAAGUCAGGUGCAUAUUUACCCUGGAGUCUUGAGUGUCACAUACCAAACUUACACAUGUUUCUUUUCAUUUACAUGCGUAAGUUAUUUCAACUGUACAAUAAUUGGUACAGUGAUUUCAGAUUCAUUCAACAAUUAAUAUAGAACAAUUCAGCCCAUAAGGAAGUUGGGGGAAAAAAGUUGUGAAAAUUCUUCUUCUGGAUACCAUUGCUCUCAGGCACACACUAUGUUUGCUUGAUGGUGUGUUUCUUCAUACUGAAUUAUCAAUCAAUAGUAAAUGAUAAAGUGAACAUUUCAUUCCAUUGGACUGCAUGCAUAAGGUACUACAAUAGGUAUCUUAGU